CCAUGGAUCCUCUGCCUGAGAUGGACGCCAGUUAGAAUCUCUGGUGUAAUUACAGAGGCUGAGAAGUCUUAGAUCUUCAGUCAACAAAUUGACUCAGGAGUCACAGUGAGAUAGUUAUAACUUGUGUCUAAAACUAUGGAAACCAAAACAGCCAACUGUGGAACUCGUGGUGUGAGUCUGAGACUGAUGCAGGCUCAGCUGGAAGAUGUACAUUUUACUUCCUGGAAACGGUGAUUUGGACGAAGAUUAACACCACAACUUCUUCAAAAGAAGAUCCAUAGUGCUGCAUCAAAGUCCUAAAUCCUGCAAAUGUGCGGAAGACUCAAAGACUUUAAUCCUUGGACUGGCAAUCAUCAUUGUACUAUUGCUUCAUGUUAGAGCUGAAGUUAGUUUUCCUGUCUGAGGUUUAAGGAAGAUUACUUUGGAAACAAGGGUCACCAUCUUGAAGGCACUCAAACAGUCCUUAGUGAGGUCCAUGUGUAAAAGAACUAAGGCCUCUUGCCAAAAGCUGGGGAUGACGUUUUGCCUUUGAGUCAUAGGAGCUGACCCUCGUAUCUUAGCCAAGAACCACCAGCCCAGGAGGGCACCACCCACCAUAGGCUGGGCCUUCCUUCAUUGAUCCCUAAUUGAGAAAAUGUGUUACAUCUGGAUCUCUUGGAGGCAUUUCAUCAACUGAGGCUUCUUCCUCUUUGGUGACUCCAGCUUGUGGUAAGUUGAUACACAAAACCAGCUAGUAUAGAUA